GCGAAAACAAAACCGAUUAUUCCGGUUUUGCCAAAACACUCGGAAUGUAUUUUCAAUUGAGAGAUGACUACUGCAAUUUAGCUCAACCUGAGGCACAAGAAGAAAGGCCGGCUGAUCAGAAAUUAAACGACUAUUGCAUGGAUUUAACGGAAGGAAAAUUCACCUUGCCCAUAAUCCACGCAUCUAAAGGCCCACAUGGUGCAACUGUUUUAA